GGUUACUGACCUGUCCGUCACAGUUACAUUAUCAGGUAUGAUGACAUAAGUAACUGGCUUGAUGCCCACAUACAGAGGGCCACCUUGUUAUGCUAUUCAAAAGUCUAACAUCAUUAGUACUAGCCCUGUGGUAGGAACUGAAUUUAGUUUUCUCCCAAACCAGUGACACAUCUACAAAUAAAGAAAAGGAAGAGUAGCAAUGUAGUAAGGAAGCAGUGUAGCAGGAUUAAACAGGACAAAGCCUAGAUUCGGUACCAAAGCUUCUAGAGAUGGCUUCUUUGUGUUCCAGCAUGCUGAAGACCUUCAUGGUUGACCUUCUGUUGCAAACAAAGGAGAUCCUGUGGAGGAAAAUCCAAAGGGACAUAUUUUGGAAACCAUGUACACAAUGGUUCUGUAGAGGUUUUGGUCCAAUACGUACAGCUUUUCUUCCUCAGCUUGCCUAACUCAAAGAAAGGGACUGGAAAUGGAAACAUAGCUUUUCAGUUUGCAUUUGGCAGAGCGGGCAUGGCAACAUUAGUUUAACAAAGAGACUAAAAAGUGUAUUUGUUUCUCCAUUGUAUGUGUUGUAUGUAAUCACAUCUUUGCUCCACCAUUUCAUUAAGUCCAAAAAAGCCCUUCAAAAUAUUUUGGCACAGAGAGACCAGGGCCACGU